CGGAGAGGCGGCUCCGAGGGGCGGCCCGAUCUCCAGGGGGGCGGCCCGGUCGGGUCCCUCCGGCAGCGGCUGAGGCGCAGGCGGUGCCCGGAGGAGCCUUCCCCGCGGGCUGGAGCAGCAGCCGCGUCGGGAGGAAGGAGGGCGGGCAGGCGGGCGGAGCAGCGGCUGCUGACGCCCCUCACACAGACAGAGCCCGCGGGCAGCGUGUGCCGCCCGCAGGAAAUGCACGUGCUAAUUAGCAGCCUGGUUUUCUAGAGCAGACAGGGAUCCUUUCCCGGAAUUCCUGCCCGGAGCAGAGCACAGGGACACGGGUGUCAGUGUUAUGGAUCACAGGUGCUGCUCCAGUGAUCACAGCCCAACAGAAAAGUCCCUUUGCUGUGGAUGGCUUGGCCUUGCUCUGCAGAGGAAUGCCAUGGAGUCAGCUUCCUGAUUUUUCACACCUGAACAGGAGAGGAUGGACAGUCUUGGAUCAGCCCCUCGGUGCCGACAGCACUUCCUGUGGAGAUCAGAGCAAUGAACAUCUGGGCAGCACUGCUGGAGCAGCAGGGAAACCCCUCCUGGGGGAUGUGGAGUCUUGGGCCCCUGAAGGCUUGGAAAAAGCCCUGAAGUUUUUGACUGACCUUGAACCAGACAGAUGGGAGAUGAUGCUGUGUAAGAGGAGGCCUCGCUCCACUUGACCUGCAAGAGCUGCUCCAGGAGGACAAUCCAGUUCCAGCAGAAACCCCGAGGGACACGGGAUGUCACAGCAGCAGCAGGACCCACUCCAGCCCCACUGGAUUUUGGCUUCCUGGUUGUCCUGGUGCUUGGAAAACCUCUCAGUCAUCCCAUGGCACACCUGGCUCCUGGGAAAUGCUCUGGAUGGAUGGAUGGGCUGCUGCAGUGGGGGUGGAAUCACAGGCAGGAAUAAAGGCAAAAGGGAAAUCUUUCUCUGGGAAUCCCCAUCCCUGGAAGUGUCCAAGGCCAGGCUGGAAGGGGCCUGGAGCAAUCUGGGCUAAUGGAAGGUGUCCCUGCCAUGGCAGGGGGUGGGAUGAGAUGAUCUUUAAGGUCUCUUCCAACCCAAAGCAGCCUCUGAUCCUUCAGGGAAAGGCUGGGAAAACAAUCCAUGGCUGUAUUUCCCCUCCCAUUCCAGCUGCUGUCCCACCUCACCCCAGGCCUCGUGUUCUUAUUUUAAAGAAUUAAAGCCCCACUGAUCUGAACAAGGUCAAGUGUUCCUUUGCCAUCUCCCAAGCCACAGUCCCACCUCUGCCUCUGCUCCUGAAACGGCUCCAUUUGCAUAAAUUCGUCUGCAAACAAUUAAAGUUAAUUAAGAUAAUUUAUCACUUGAAAGUAAAGCGUUUUUAUCAGCAGGUAUCAGCCUGUAAAGCAAACAAAGAACCAGUUGUAGGGGAAUAGCUGGGGCCUUAUUACCCUGUUAGACAUGAAGUGACAAAAACCUGCUCGUUAUGACGCUUUUGUCGGUCCCGGUGCUUUGUUUGCAAAGUAAUUAACUGCAAUUAGCUAAUCAUCCUCUGUAGGAGCUGCAUGUGUGACUCUGCACUAGCACGGACUCAUUUACACUUUGGCUGCCUUCUCACACACAAACUGGGAGACACACAAGUUUUUUGGGAGCAGCCCGAAGUUCUUGUCUGUGGGCAGAAAUGGGAUGUUGGGAAGAGCUUUGAGGGACAGAAGGGAUCUGGUGGGUGCUCCUUGGGAUGCUCCUCUCCACUGCUUCCAGCGGGGUUUAUUGCAUCCUGAUAUCCAGUGUCUGCAGGGACUGUAAAAAUAAAGCACUUUGGGGAAAAAAAAUACCCAUUAUCGUUGCUCAAAUCCCAUCCAGCCCGGCCUUGAGCAAUUCCAGGGAUGGGGCAGCCACAGCUUCUCUGGGCAUCUCCCAGUUCCACUGGGAUCAACUCCCCUCAUCAGCAAACACAAAACUCAUUUCAUCAAAUUCUGACCCCAGCAAUAACAGAGAUCACAUUUAACUUGGAAUUUGUGGGAUGAGUUAAUCUGAGUACUCCCAGAGGCAUUGACCCCUCAGGGUAAAAAACCAACUUCACGUGCCCCAAAACCACUCCCAGGCAACCAGGAAUGGUCAUUUUUUAAAAAAUUCAUUUAAAAAAUUCCUGGCAGAGCCAUAGGCUCUCCUGGCAUGGGAGAUCAGUGGCUUCUCAAUAGGACACUCAGGAAUUCCAGCCCUUCUUGACCCACAGGAGGCCCCUGAGUGUGGAUUAUUGUCCUUGUACCUUUGUUUCCCCACCUGCUGAAUUGGGAUGGCCCCUUUUUUCUGAUGAUUUUCCCUUUGUUUUCUUUUCCCCAGGCCCUCCCUCUUACUGGGAAUUCUGGGCACUGACAAGGAUUUUCACCCUGAAAAGGGCAGUGUGUUCCAAGAGUCCCCAUAGAACAAACCCACCCUUUAUCUUCGGAUACCAGGAAAAUAUUUGGAGCUCUGUGAGCAACCUGGACAUGCUGAACAUCCCAGGGGGGUCCUGAGUGUCAGGGGGUACUGAGCACCCCUGGGUGUCCUGCUGGGUGUCUCUGGGUGCUCAGCUGCAGCGGGGGCUCCAGAAAUGAGCUCUGCCUGGUAAUUAAACCCAGGUGUUUGCAGUUGUAAUUAAAGAGCCCAUAUAAGGAGGGUGGGGCCGGGCUGGUGCCGUGCCCCGGAGGAGUGGGAGAGCUGCUGUGUCUGGGGUUUGGUCCUCUCUGCUGGCACUGGUGAGUGCUCUGUGCUUUUUGUGCAUUUAUUUGUUGGUUUAUUCACCGUUUCUGACCGAGUUUUCUCCUGUUGCUUCCCUGGCACUUCAGCUUUCCUCGUUAUGUGCUAGGGAAAAAGGAAUGCUUGGAUUUACUGAGGGGGGAGGCUGAGCUGCCCCAGCACUCACCUCUUGCUGUUGUGGGUGUUUUCAGCGUCAGGUUCAGGGCAAUUUGGGUAUUACAGCUCCUUUUCCCUGGAAUUAAAGGCAGGCACGUUGGAAUGUUAUCCUUGGUGCUUUCUUUGUUCCCUGGAGGAUCUCAAAGCUCUGCUGAGCCGAGCCUGUGGCUCACACAGCCCUGGGACCUGUGCUGGGUCCUCGGGAUGAGUCUCCCUCCAGCAAUGACUUCAGUGCAGUGAAAAUGGGUUUGCUUUUAAUAAUUCAGGAGGAAAAUGCAGCACUGGGGAGGGCUGGGGGGAAGGUGCCUCUUCCCAGGAUGCCAGAAGUGAUGCUGAGCGUUUCCCAGGAAUUCCCUGUUGGGGUGGAUGGCUGGAGGUGGGGUGUGCUCUGGGUGGGUCUGUGCUGAGGAGCACGUGCUGACCGAGUGCUUGAGCUCUGGAGUUCGGGGUGAGUGGGAAUUCUGGUUCCUGUGUUUCCAGUUCCAGGGAGUCUGUGUUUGCUGCAAACGAAGGUGCAGGGGUGAGGGGUGUUUUGGGGCGUGUUCUGACAGAAUCAAGGCAGCAGUUGUUCGGUUUCUCUCUUUGGGAGCAUUUUGCUGCAGCAGAUCCCCAGCCCCUCGCCGUGGUGGCAGCAGCACAAAGGAGCUUCCCUUCUCCAAAUGGGAAGGACUGGGAUGUAAAAUCCUGCUCUUGCAGGUCUGGGUUUGGGUGCUGGAUUUUUGGGAGCCUCGCAGGGGCUCUGGGAGGGCUGAAAGCACCACACCCCAAUUAGAGCUGAGGAGCCCCAGCUGGGCUGGGUGGGGUGACCUGGUGUUAUCCAGAGCAGAAACACCUGGGGCUGCAGGUGUUGUGGAUUCAUGGAAUGGUUUGGGAUGGAAGGAGCCUC